rnacentral:rRNA from 1 species
GACUGUACAAAGGUAGCAUAAUCAUUUGUCUUUUAAUUGAAGACUGGUAUGAAUGGUUUGAUGAAAAAUAAGCUUUCUUUAUAUUAAAUAUAUAAUUUAACUUUUAAGUUAAAAUGCUUAAAUUUUUAUAAAGGACGAGAAGACCCUAUAGAACUUUAGUAUAGUCUAUAUAAUAUUAUUAUGGAUAAUUAAAUUUAUAUAUAUAAAUUAUACUUUUGUUGGGGUGAUAGAUAAAAUAUAAAAACUUUAUUUUUUUAAAUUCAAUUAUUUUUGAUUAAUUGAUCCUUUAUUUAGAAAAAAGAAUAAGUUACCUUAGGGAUAACAGCGUUAUUAUUUUGGAGAGUUCUUAUCGAUAAAAUAGUUUGCGACCUCGAUGUUGGAUUAAAAUUAAUAUUAGGAGGAGGUUCUUAAUUAUUAGGUCUGUUCGACCUUUAAAUUUUUACA